GCGCUGGUGUAGCUCAGUGGUUACUUCUACUCACAAAAAGAAACUCAUGGUCGACGGUUCACCGAUGGCCGGAGAUCUAACCACGGGCUCUGUCCAGCGUUUUG
ensembl:misc_RNA Vault Vault RNA